AAGAAAGAAAUAGUAGCAAGUAGAUCUCAGCCAAAUUAUUCGGCCAUGGCAACCGGUACUCCAGUUAACAUCCCCUCUAAAAUGAAGGCCUGGGUCUAUGGCCAACCUCGGUUGAUGUUCCUGACGUAAAUGAUGACCAGGUUUUGAUCAAAGUAGUUGCUGCGUCCCUGAAUCCAGUCGACUUCAAACGCAUGGCUGGAUCAUUCGAGGCCACUGAUUCUCCUCUCCGGUAGACUGUUGCGGGAUAUGAUGAUGUGGCGGGGGUAGUUAGAGUUUUUUUUUUUUUUUUGAAAAGAAGUGGUAGUUAGAGUUGGGAUCGAAGUGAAGGAAUUCAAGGUCGGGGAUGAAGUAUAUGGAGAAAUUCACGAGCAUGCCCACCACCCAAAGGAUUGUGGGUCACUGGCGGAGUACACUGCAGUGGAUGAGAAGGUUUGGGUUUCGCCGAGGCAGCUAGUCUUCCUCUAGCCGUUGAAACAGCGUGCGAGGGCCUUGAAAGCGCUGCUUUUCAGCUGGUGGCAAAGAAUGUGUUUGGUGCAUGCAGAGCGGCAGCAACUUGUAGGUGCUGAUUUUGGCAAUCGACUACAGGAAGAACAAGUAUGAAGAUUUGCCAGAGAAAUUUGAUACCGUUGGUAAGAAUGAAUCCUAAGCAAUCAAAUCAGUCUCUUGCUCUCUGUUUACUGCAGCACGUAAAAGUUUCUGGUGCUAGUAAAUCAAAUGAGCAGGUGAGAGUGGCAGGGUAUCGAGGCAGUAAAAGAAGGCGGAAGGGAAGGGCGGUGACAAUCUGGCCGGCGGGGCCAGUGGUUCCCUUCCCCCUGCUAGUCAUAACGUGUUUGUGGUCACUUCAACCGUCUCCGUCUUAAAGAAACUCAAACCUUUCAUAGAGGAGGAGAAGCUGAAGCCGGUGAUUGACCCUAAAGGCCCAUUUCCCAUUGAAGCAUUUUCCCAUAUUCAAAGUGGCAGAGCUACCGGCAAGGCGUAUAUAUCCAAUGCCCUGAUCUCACGAAUCAUUGCCCUCUCCAGUCCCCGGAGUGGACGCAUCAUAACCUUUUUCACUACACCUAUUAAAUAGUAAGAAGGAUUCUAGAUUGCCUUUCUUUCUUUUCUCUUUUAAUAUGCUGCCACUAGUAGUGGUUUGGUAAGAGACACGUACCGGAAUAAAUUUUUUUAAAAAAGAUAAUCGGCGGUUUCUGCUUGUGCACUAAUAAUAAUAUAGAAAGUAAUUGCUAGC